rnacentral:tRNA from 1 species
GCUAUUUUGGCAGAUUAGUGCAAUAAGUUUAGAAUUUAUUUAUGUAAUAUAGAUUACAGAUAGCA